UACGUAGGGUGCGAGCGUUGUCCGGAAUUACUGGGCGUAAAGAGCUCGUAGGUGGUUUGUCGCGUUGUUCGUGAAAACUCACAGCUUAACUGUGGGCGUGCGGGCGAUACGGGCAGACUGGAGUACUGCAGGGGAGACUGGAAUUCCUGGUGUAGCGGUGGAAUGCGCAGAUAUCAGGAGGAACACCGGUGGCGAAGGCAGCUCUCUGGGUCCCUACCGACGCUGGGGUGCGAAAGCAUGGGGAGCGAACAGG
rnacentral:rRNA from 1 species